AGCCACAGGAGGGACAGGGGUAAAAGAGCCUCAUCAUCAGAAUUUAAUAUCUUCCAAGAAAAGUUUCUUAAGACCACAAAAGGUAGAGGUGGAAUUAUUUUUACAUAUUUGUUUUUCCGGACUUGACAAAGGCAGCUAACACUUCAUGAAGUUGGAGUAAAAAGUGAAAGAAGUUUCAGCUUCUGGGUACAGAUCUGUGUCAAGGAUGUGAGAAUAGGGGCAAGAGUCUGGGCAUCUGCAAGCAAAAGUGACCAUAGAGAAGAAAAGGCUUGAACAGUGUUCACAGCUACAGUUCCAUCUACAUUGCAACGUCUAAUGUCUUGAUGUGCUACAGAGUCAUUGUGGUGUCAGACCUGGUGUGAAUAUAUAUCUUUUUAGGACAGGUAUAUCUUUUUUUCAUUCCUGCUACAAAGAAUUUGCACUUAGCACACUACUGGUUAACCUCAAUACAAA
rnacentral:lncRNA from 1 species